rnacentral:rRNA from 1 species
GACGAACGCUGGCGGCGUGCUUAACACAUGCAAGUCGAACGGAAAGGCCCUGCUUUUGUGGGGUGCUCGAGUGGCGAACGGGUGAGUAACACGUGAGUAACCUGCCCUUGACUUUGGGAUACCUCAGGAAACUGGGGCUAAUACCGGAUAGGAGCUCCUGCUGCAUGGUGGGGGGUGGGAAGUUUCGGCGGUUGGGGAUGGACUCGCGGCUUAUCAGCUUGUUGGUGGGGUAGUGGCUUACCAAGGCUUUGACGGGUAGCCGGCCUGAGAGGGUGACCAGCCACAUUGGGACUGAGAUACGGCCCAGACUCCUACGGGAGGCAGCAGUGGGGAAUAUUGCACAAUGGGCGGAAGCCUGAUGCAGCAACGCCGCGUGCGGGAUGACGGCCUUCGGGUUGUAAACCGCUUUCGCCUGUGACGAAGCGUGAGUGACGGUAAUGGGUAAAGAAGCACCGGCUAACUACGUG